UACAGAGGGUGCAAGCGUUUAAUCGGAAUUACUGGGCGUAAAGCGUGCGUAGACGGUUAUGUAAGUCGGGUGUGAAAGCCCCGGGCUCAACCUGGGAAUGCCAUUCGAGACUGCAUAGCUAGGGUGCGGAAGAGGGAAGCGGAAUUUCCGGUGUAGCGGUGAAAUGCGUAGAUAUCGGAAGGAACACCAGUGGCGAAAGCGGCUUCCUGGUCCAGCACCGACGUCAGGCACGAAAGCGUGGGGAGCAAACAGG
rnacentral:rRNA from 1 species